rnacentral:lncRNA from 1 species
UCCAGACCUCAUCACAAGGAGAGUGGCUCCCUCCUUGCCAGAAAUGGGGACACAGGGAGGAUGAGGAGGUGGCCUGGAGGGAGAGGCUCAGCCAGACUGCAGCUGCGUGAGAGUGGGUUCUUGGACCCAGCCGGAAACAGUGCAGGUCUUCAAGUGUCCUGCAUGACUCUGAGCUGUCUGUGGUGGUGCUGAUGGCAGAGGCUGGGCUGGCUCGUGCUUCACACCUGACAGUGGCCUGGAGUGCUCCCCAGGGGUGGCCCAAGCUAUGUCCCAGAGCUUCAGCCAUGAAGGAGGCAGGUUGCUGAGGGUCCACACAUUGCCUUCAGAGAUCCUAACCCCAGGAGCGCACCCUGUAGAAGGAGGAGGCGGGCGAGAGACAGGGAAAUACAAAACCUAACAGAUGGAGUCUUGCUCUGUUGUACCUCGGUUGGAGUGCAGUGGUACGAUCUCGGCUCACUGCAACCUCUGCCUCCCGGUUUCAAGCGAUUCUUCCACCUCAGUCUCCCAAGUAGCUGGGAUUACAGGAGCCCGCCACCACGCCAGGCUAAUUUUUUGUAUUUUCAGUAGAGAUGGGGUUUCACCAUGUUGGCCAGGCUGGUCUCAAACUCCCAACCUCAGGUGAUCUGCCCGCCUCGGCCUCCCAAAAUGCUGGGAUUACAGGCAUGAGCCACCAUUCCCGGCCUACUGCUGUUUUCUUUUUGCAAUAAAACAGAAUGUCUGCA